GGAGUGGAAAUGGACUGAAAGUCAUCGUUGACAUUGAAGAAGACCAAUACACCGAAAGUUUUUCCGUUGGUGGGAAUUCUGAAGUCGGACUGAAACUCCUGGUGCACGAUCCGAGGGAACCUCCCAUGAUUGACACCCAAGGAAUUGCCCUCGCGCCGGGCAACAGCGCUUUCAUUGCCGUCAAGCAGACAUUGUACGAGAACCACGUGCCUCCGUGGGGGGUCUGCCAGGACCUACAGCUGGAGUAUUACGACACCUACACGCUGAACGGCUGCUAU